rnacentral:rRNA from 1 species
UGCCCAAGAGAUCGGGAUAACACCUGGAAACAGAUGCUAAUACCGGAUAACAACAGAUGAUGCCUAUCAACUGUUUAAAAGAUGGUUCUGCUAUCACUCUUGGAUGGACCUGCGGUGCAUUAGCUAGUUGGUAGGGUAACGGCCUACCAAGGCGAUGAUGCAUAGCCGAGUUGAGAGACUGAUCGGCCACAUUGGGACUGAGACACGGCCCAAACUCCUACGGAAGGCAGCAGCG